UGAGGAAUAUUGCCCAAUGGGGGAAACCCUGAGGCAGCAACGCCGCGUGAACGAUGACGGCCUUCGGGUUGUAAAGUUCUUUUCUGGGGGAAGAUGAUGACGGUACCCCAGGAAUAAGUCCCGGCUAACUACGUGCCAGCAGCCGCGGUAAAACGUAGGGGGCGAGCGUUAUCCGGAUUUACUGGGCGUAAAGCGCACGCAGGCGGCUGAUCAAGUUGGACGUGAAAGCUCCCGGCUUAACUGGGAGAGGUCGUACAAAACUGAUCGGCUCGAGGCUGAGAGAGGAGAGCAGAAUUCCCGGUGUAGUGGUGGAAUGCGUAGAUAUCGGGAGGAAUACCAGUGGCGAAGGCGGCUCUCUGGCUCAGAACUGACGCUGAGGUGCGAAAGCGUGGGGAGCGAACGGGAUUAGAUACCCCGGUAGUUCACGCCGUAAACGAUGGGAUACUGGGCGUAGGGGGUAAUCGAACCCCCCUGUGCCGAAGCCAACGCGAUAAGUAUCCCGCCUGGGGACUACGGCCGC
rnacentral:rRNA from 1 species